GACGAACGCUGGCGGCGUGCUUAACACAUGCAAGUCGAACGGAAAGGCCCUGCUUUUGUGGGGUGCUCGAGUGGCGAACGGGUGAGUAACACGUGAGUAACCUGCCCUUGACUUUGGGAUAACUUCAGGAAACUGGGGCUAAUACCGGAUAGGAGCUCCUGCUGCAUGGUGGGGGUUGGAAAGUUUCGGCCGUUGGGGAUGGACUCGCGGCUUAUCAGCUUGUUGGUGGGGUAGUGGCUUACCAAGGCUUUGACGGGUAGCCGGCCUGAGAGGGUGACCGGCCACAUUGGGACUGAGAUACGGCCCAGACUCCUACGGGAGGCAGCAGUGGGGAAUAAUGCACAAUGGGCGGAAGCCUGAUGCAGCAACGCCGCGUGCGGGAUGACGGCCUUCGGGUUGUAAACCGCUUUCGCCUGUGACGAAGCGUGAGUGACGGUAAUGGGUAAAGAAGCACCGGCUAACUACGUG
rnacentral:rRNA from 1 species